GAUGAACGCUGGCGGCGUGCCUAAUACAUGCAAGUAGAACGCUGAAGCUUGGUGCUUGCACCGAGCGGAUGUGUUGCGAACGGGUGAGUAACGCGUAGGUAACCUGCCUCUUAGCGGGGGAUAACUAUUGGAAACGAUAGCUAAUACCGCAUAAAAGUCGAUAUCGCAUGAUAUUGAUUUGAAAGGUGCAAAUGCAUCACUAAGAGAUGGACCUGCGUUGUAUUAGCUAGUUGGUGAGGUAACGGCUCACCAAGGCGACGAUACAUAGCCGACCUGAGAGGGUGAUCGGCCACACUGGGACUGAGACACGGCCCAGACUCCUACGGGAGGCAGCAGUAGGGAAUCUUCGGCAAUGGGGGCAACCCUGACCGAGCAACGCCGCGUGAGUGAAGAAGGUUUUCGGAUCGUAAAGCUCUGUUGUAAGAGAAGAACGAGUGUGAGAGUGGAAAGUUCACACUGUGACGGUAACUUACCAGAAAGGGACGGCUAACUACGUG
rnacentral:rRNA from 1 species